rnacentral:lncRNA from 1 species
AAGCUUUGAUUUAUAUUUGAUCCUAUGGAUUUUUUUAAAUAUUUUCUUUGCAAUUUUUAUGACCAGUUAAACUAUCUAAUAGAUUGGAUUUCAGGUUCACUUGUAAUUAGACUUUUAUUACAUUGUUAAUGAUAUUUACAUUUCUAGAAAAUAAAAGCUUGAAGUUGUGGAAAACAACGUUCUCAUAACGUAGGAAAACAGAAUAUUCCAUUUAUUUUCUGUCGAUGAAUUUGGACUUUUUUUUUGUCACUGAUGAAUUUAGACUCUACAAAGUACAAAGUAUAAAGUAAGAAGAUAAUUAUUCG